UCUACAGAGAGAAAAUUCCUCCAGUCAUUCUUCAACACACACACUCAGGGAAAAAAAAAUCUCUAAUAGGAGGAUCCCCUGAGGCACAGAGUUUUUAACUUGUCCAAUCCAGCCAGUGUAAAAUCUGCCUUUGCAGCCAAUGCUCAGGCAGUGAAAGGCUCACGUGAUACAAUUCACCCCUCUCCCUCCUUCCUUUCUGCUGCCUUUUGAAAAGACAGAAAAAAAAAUCCCCAGUUCAUGUAAGGUCUGCAGCUCUUUGAGAUGCACAAUCUCUGUCUCUCGCAGGUCUGGGGUUUUAAUGUCCCAUUAUGCAUGUUACAACCAGGAGGUCUUCUCAGUCCUGCAAGCCUUUAAGCCUGCGCUACUUUCUAUCUCUUCAGGAAACCCGUGAUUAGAUAACCUGCCAAGAAUAACGAGCUGACGUGCGUUUUUUUGGUUCCACAGCUCUGGAAUGAAAUGUGAUUUAUGCACAAGAAAUUUGCUACAACAUUCAGUUAUCCUGACAAACAGAAGUAGGUAGAAGUUACUGCCCACAUGACCUGCCCCUACAGUUUCAUAUAAUAUAAACAAUAACCCAUCUGUUUGCCUGGGCCCCCGCCAAUCAUAUGUCUGCUAUCCUUCAGGGUGCACAGUAGAAUAAAUUCACAUACCAUAACAAAUUCAACAUCCUUAUCUUAAACUCCAUGUGCCAAGCCUAAGACUAAUCCUCCAUCCUCUUGAUCUCCCCAAUGCACAGAGACUCCUUUCAAAUCCUAGCCUGGGGCCCAUCCCUCACACACCCCUAUGUAGGAUUUAGCCUUGGUAUCCUCACCUUUCCAGCUACUCGAGCACAGUCCCAUCUAAAAAUACCUAUGCGUCUGUCCAUAAGGGCAGGUGGAAGAGAAGCUAAAAAGGUAACUGCCUUUUGACCCUAAAUGUUAUACUAAAGAACAAAUGGUCUAUUGGCAGGAUGAAAUAUAAAUGCUGUGAGCAGUAAGGCAAUGCCCUAUUAAUAACAUUGGUAUCAAGCAUAAUUUUUAUUGUUCUGGCCAAUAAAAUACCUGCAAGGUGGAAACCCUAACUACAUAUUA